rnacentral:rRNA from 1 species
AUGAGGGAGGAUGGUCUCAAGGGGGUAAAAAUUAGCAGAAGUGCUCCAGAGAUUUCUCAUCUUUUGUCUGCGGAUGACUCCCUCCUAUUCUUCCAUGCAACAGAGCAGCAUGCAAUUUUUGUGAAAGGUUUGUUGAACACAUACGCGACGGCGACGGGCCAAUUAAUUAAUCCGUCGAAGUGUUCCAUCCUCUUCUCGAAUCAUUGCCUUCCUAAUGUGUCUCAGGAGGUGAAGGAUGUAUUGGAGAUUACUCAGGAGGUGUUUGAACCCAAAUAUUUGGGCUUGCCGAUCCCUGAGGGAAGAAUGCACAAAGGUAGUUUUGAAACUAUCCAGGAACGAUUGAUGAAAAGGCUUAUAGAUUGGAGCGAGCAAUAUAUGUCAUCAGGCAAUAAGGAGAUUCUAAUCAAAUCUGUUGCCCAGGCCAUUCCAACUUAUGUGAUGAGUGUGUUCAAACUUCCUGCAUCAGUAUGUGAUGAACUUACACGUAUGAUUCACCAAUAUUGGUGGGGAGUUGAGAAUGGAAAGAGGAAAAUGGCCUGGAUGAGUUGGGACAACUUAAGACUUCCUAAAUCAUUGGGGAGUAUGGGUUUUAGAGACAUGAGGGCGUUUAACCAAGCCAUGUUAGCUAAACAAGCCUAG